GCGCACGGGUGCGUAACGCGUAUGCAACCUACCCUGUACUGAGGGAUAGCCCGGAGAAAUUCGGAUUAACACCUCAUAGUAUAUAUCAUUCGCAUGUUUGAUAUAUUAAAGGUUACGGUACAGGAUGGGCAUGCGUCCCAUUAGCUAGAUGGUGAGGUAACGGCUCACCAUGGCGACGAUGGGUAGGGGGCCUGAGAGGGUGGUCCCCCACACUGGUACUGAGACACGGACCAGACUCC
rnacentral:rRNA from 1 species